GUGGGGUAGUGGAUUUCAUGGUGGGAUGGGGGAGUAGGUCUGAGCCAAGGAUGACUUGCCGCCGCUGAAACCACAAUUGCAUGCUUUGCUUUCUUGUGUCCCAAACUGUAUGCUUUGGUCCAUUGGGCUGGGAAGUUGUCCUUGGCUCUAGCUUCCUCCCUCGCCUAUUUUCCAUGUAAGACUUUACCAUCCAC
rnacentral:pre_miRNA from 1 species